rnacentral:rRNA from 1 species
GAUGAACGCUGGCGGCGUGCUUAACACAUGCAAGUCGAACGGUAAGGCCCCUUCGGGGGUACACGAGUGGCGAACGGGUGAGUAACACGUGGGUAAUCUGCCCUUGUCACCGGGAUAACUCAGGGAAACUUGAGCUAAUACCGGAUACUCCGCGAAGAUCGCAUGGUCUUCUCGGGAAAGCUCCGACGGACAGGGAUGAGCCCGCGGCCCAUUAGCUUGUUGGUAGGGUAACGGCCUACCAAGGCAACGAUGGGUAGCCGAGCUGAGAGGCUGAUCGGCCACACUGGGACUGAGACACGGCCCAGACUCCUACGGGAGGCAGCAGUGGGGAAUUUUGCGCAAUGGGCGAAAGCCUGACGCAGCAACGCCGCGUGCGGGACGAAGGCCUUCGGGUUGUAAACCGCUUUCAGCAGGGAUGAAACUGACAGUACCUGCAGAAGAAGCCCCGGCUAACUACGUGCCAGCAGCCGCGGUAAUACGUAGGGGGCAAGCGUUAUCCGGAUUCAUUGGGCGUAAAGCGCGCGUAGGCGGCUUGUUAAGCGAGAUGUGAAAACCGGGGGCUUAACCCGCGGCCUGCAUCUCGAACUGGCAGGCUUGAGUCUGGUAGAGGAAAGUGGAAUUCCCAGUGUAGCGGUGAAAUGCGCAGAUAUUGGGAGGAACACCAGUGGCGAAGGCGGCUUUCUGGGCCACGACUGACGCUGUGGCGCGAAAGCUAGGGGAGCGAACAGGAUUAGAUACCCUGGUAGUCCUAGCCGUAAACGAUGGGCACUAGGUGUGGGGGGUCACCAACUCCCUCCGUGCCGCAGCUAACGCAUUAAGUGCCCCGCCUGGGGAGUACGGCCGCAAGGCUAA